rnacentral:piRNA from 1 species
UUCAUCUAGAAAACACUAACCUUAUUCCCGC